UACGGGGGGGGCAAGCGUUGUUCGGAAUUACUGGGCGUAAAGGGCGCGUAGGCGGCCUGCUAAGUCGGAUGUGAAAUCCCUCGGCUCAACCGAGGAACUGCACUCGAUACUGGCGGGCUUGAAUCCGGGAGAGGGAUGUGGAAUUCCAGGUGGUAGCGGUGAAAUGCGCAGAUAUCAGGAGGAACACCAACGGCGAAGGCAGCACUCUGGGCCGGUACUGACGCUGAGGAGCGAAAGCGUGGGGAGCAAACGGG
rnacentral:rRNA from 1 species